rnacentral:sRNA from 12 species
CUUACCAGCGAGAAGGCCAUGCGCAGAACCAAAACUGCGAAAGUGGUAAGGCUCCAGAAGAACUUGUAGCACCAUUGCAAGCGGCGAAAGCCUGCACGGGGCAAAGGGUAAACAAAUUUGGACAUUGGCCGGUGGGAAUGGUGCUCCCGCCGGUCUUAU